GUGGGGAAUAUUCGACAAUGGGCGAAAGCCUGAUCCAGCAAUGCCGCGUGAGUGAUGAAGGCCUUAGGGUUGUAAAGCUCUUUUACCAGGGAUGAUAAUGACAGUACCUGGAGAAUAAGCUCCGGCUAACUCCGUGCCAGCAGCCGCGGUAAUACGGAGGGAGCUAGCGUUGUUCGGAAUUACUGGGCGUAAAGCGCACGUAGGCGGUUACUCAAGUCAGAGGCGAAAGCCCGGGGCUCAACCCCGGAACUGCCUUUGAAACUAGGUAGCUGGAAUCUUGGAGAGGUCAGUGGAAUUCCGAGUGUAGAGGUGAAAUUCGUAGAUAUUCGGAAGAACACCAGUGGCGAAGGCGACUGACUGGACAAGUAUUGACGCUGAGGUGCGAAAGCGUGGGGAGCAAACAGGAUUAGAUACCCCUGUAGUCC
rnacentral:rRNA from 1 species